GCUGUUUUUCUUGAUCACUUGAAGCCACUUGACACUAAAAGAGAAAUAUGCCGAUGGCUACACAAAUAGCAUCCACAUAUUCUUCUUUAUUAAUCUGCAGCCCUAAUAGGAUAUGUGAGCAGGAGAGCACCUCCCUGGAGUUACCCUAGCCCUGUAAUGGAUCAAGGAUUGACGCCGAUUAUCACCUUCAGAUCUGCAGAUUGAAGCUGUUUGUGGUGCGUUGCUUGAUUCUUGGUGACGACGGGAUGAUCGUAAUUUGGUGAGUAGAUGAGGCGUAAGUCUUGAGCUCUUUUGUUUUGAUACCUCUGUUGCUUGUUAUAUCAAUCGUGUGUCGACGAGUUAGAGCGCGAACGUUAGUUUUCAACUUUCUUCUUUACUAUUUCUUAUUUUUAAUGCUAGAUUGCUAUAACAUGGUCUUUGGUCAUUUCCCAGUCAGUUUCAGUUACUUUAUACAUCUCUAAAUACUUUAUUGGCAAUUACUAUAAAGACAUUUGGGGUGAUAACUGAUGAUAGUUACAGUUCCAGCGACAAAGCUCACUUGUUAAAUUUUCGAUUAAUAUCCAUUUGAUUUACUUCCGGUUUUUAAAUUAGUUAAAAGUUCUGUAAAUAUUCAUUUGACGCUCAAAAGAACCUGGUUUUCGUGAUCCUCGUCCAAUUUGGGGUUGAUUUAUUCACGUAUUAGUAAAAAAUAUCGGAAAAUCGUUUAAUUUGUAUUUCG